GCUACGGGAGGCAGCAGUGGGGAAUAUUGGGCAAUGGGCGAAAGCCUGAUGCAGCAACGCCGCGUGAAGGAAGAAGGCUUUCGGGUUGUAAACCUCUUUUCUGAGGGACGAAGAAAGUGACGGUACCUCAGGAAUAAGCCACGGCUAACUACGGGCCAGAAGCCGGGGUAAUAGGUAGGUGGCAAGCGUUAUCCGGAUUUAUUGGGUGUAAAGGGCGGGUAGGCGGGAAGGCAAGUCAGAUGUGAAAACUCUGGGCUCAACCCUGGGACUGCAUUGGAAACUGUUUUUCUUGAGUGCUGGAGAGGCAAGCGGAAUUCCGGGUGUAGCGGUGAAAUGCGUAGAUAUACGGAGGAACACCAGUGGCGAAGGCGGAUUGCUGGACAGUAACUGACGCUGAGGCGCGAAAGCGUGGGGAGCAAACAGGAUUAGAUACCCCAGUAGUC
rnacentral:rRNA from 1 species